AGAGUUUGAUCAUGGCUCAGGACGAACGCUGGCGGCGUGCUUAAGACAUGCAAGUCGAGCGGGGGCAGCAAUGCCCUAGCGGCGGACGGGUGAGUAACACGUGGAUAACCUGCCUCAUGCUCUGGGAUAACAGGCCGAAAGGCUUGCUAAUACCGGGUAAGCUCACGCUGCCUCAUGGCAGAGGGAGAAAAGGCGCUGCAAGGCGCUGGGAUGAGAGGGGUCCGCGGCCGAUUAGCUAGUUGGUGUGGUAAUGGCACGCCAAGGCGACGAUCGGUAGCCGGCCUGAGAGGGCGAUCGGCCACACUGGGACUGAGACACGGCCCAGACUCCUACGGGAGGCAGCAGUCGGGAAUUUUGCACAAUGGCCGAAAGGCUGAUGCAGCAACGCCGCGUGAGUGAAGAAGGCCUUCGGGUUGUAAAGCUCUGUUGCCCGUGACGAACGGCAUCCUCAGGAAAUGGGGGAUGUUUGACGGUAGCGGGAGAGGAAGCCCCGGCUAACUACGUGCCAGCAGCCGCGGUAAUACGUAGGGGGCGAGCGUUGUCCGGAUUUAUUGGGCGUAAAGGGCGUGUAGGCGGCCCGGUAAGUCAGGGGUGAAAACUCGAGGCUCAACCUCGAGACUGCCUCUGAAACUGCUGGACUUGAGUGCUCUAGAGGGUAGUGGAAUUGCCGGUGUAGCAGUGAAAUGCGUAGAGAUCGGCAGGAACACCAGUGGCGAAGGCGACUACCUGGGGAGCAACUGACGCUGAGGCGCGAAAGCUGGGGGAGCAAACGGGAUUAGAUACCCCGGUAGUCCCAGCCGUAAACGAUGAGUGCAAGGUGUAGGGGGUAUCGACCCCUCCUGUGCCGGCGUUAACGCAAUAAGCACUCCGCCUGGGGAGUACGGCCGCAAGGUUGAAACUCAAAUGAAUUGACGG
rnacentral:rRNA from 1 species